UGACGCGAGUGGCGGACGGGUGAGUAACACGUAGGCAACCUGCCCAUCAGACCGGGAUAACCACGGGAAACCGUGGCUAAUACCGGAUAAUCCUUUUCUUCACAGGAAGGAAAGUUGAAAGGCGGCUUCGGCUGUCACUGAUGGAUGGGCCUGCGGCGCAUUAGCUAGUUGGUGGGGUAAGGGCCCACCAAGGCGACGAUGCGUAGCCGACCUGAGAGGGUGAUCGGCCACACUGGGACUGAGACACGGCCCAGACUCCUACGGGAGGCAGCAGUAGGGAAUCUUCCGCAAUGGACGCAAGUCUGACGGAGCAACGCCGCGUGAGUGAAGAAGGGUUUCGGCUCGUAAAACUCUGUUGUCAGGGAAGAACGUCCCCGUGAGUAACUGCACGGGGAGUGACGGUACCUGACCAGAAAGCCACGGCUAACUACGUGCCAGCAGCCGCGGUAAUACGUAGGUGGCAAGCGUUAUCCGGAAUUAUUGGGCGUAAAGCGCGCGUAGGCGGUCUGUUAAGUCUGAUGUGAAAGCCCCCGGCUCAACCGGGGAGGGUCAUUGGAAACUGGCAGACUUGAGUGCAGAAGAGGAGAGUGGAAUUCCAUGUGUAGCGGUGAAAUGCGCAGAGAUAUGGAGGAACACCAGUGGCGAAGGCGGCUCUCUGGUCUGCAACUGACGCUGAGGUGCGAAAGCGUGGGGAUCAAACAGGAUUAGAUACCCUGGUAG
rnacentral:rRNA from 1 species